UACGUAGGGUGCAAGCGUUGUCCGGAAUUAUUGGGCGUAAAGAGCUCGUAGGCGGUUUGUCGCGUCUGCUGUGAAAACCCGAGGCUCAACCUCGGGCCUGCAGUGGGUACGGGCAGACUAGAGUGCGGUAGGGGAGAUUGGAAUUCCCGGUGUAGCGGUGGAAUGCGUAGAGAUCGGGAAGAACAUCAGUGGCGAAGGCGGCCUGCUGGGCUGUUGCUGACGCUGAGGCGCGACAGCGUGGGGAGCAAACAGG
rnacentral:rRNA from 1 species